rnacentral:rRNA from 1 species
AUGAGGCUCCGGGGCGGCAUAUUCCGUAUACUGAAUGGCCGGCCUGAGGAGGAAAUGUCCGGAUCACAAGACGAUCUGCUGCAAGAGCUGUCCAAAGUGCAUGAUCGAGCUUGGAAAGCAAUGCGGAGCAUUGCUAAGGCUUUAUGGCCAUCCGCCUCUCCUCCAGAAAGUAUGGAGGAGCUCGUGGAGCUAUUCAAGGGAACUCGGCGCCGCUUAGGGCUAUGGAAGAUAUCGGCUUGCCGGGAAGGUGCACGAGAGGCCUGGGCCAUGGUGAAAACGCGGUACACCGGACUUGAUCCGAAUCAUAUGGCCCGAGUCGGUCCUCAGGGGCCAGAUGGACAAGAAAGUCCAGUGAGCUUGGUAUAUGACCAAGUGAGGAUAGCCGCCAAGUUUUCACAACAGGACUGUAAGCUAGACAGCCUAUUAAACGACAUAGAGGAAGAAGAAGCUUGUGUGUCAAAGUGA